UGAAUACUCCCUCCGUCCCAAAAUUUUUGUUUGUGUAAAUACGAAUGUAUCAAGUCACGUCUUAGUAUUAGAUACAUCCGUAUCUAGACGAAUUCAAGACAAGAAUUUUGGUACGGAGAAAGUACAAA
rfam:Triticum aestivum genome assembly, contig: Triticum_aestivum_CS42_TGACv1_scaffold_642755_T_5BS-0.214954_5BL-0.183006